UACGUAGGGGGCAAGCGUUAUCCGGAUUUACUGGGUGUAAAGGGAGCGUAGACGGAAUGGCAAGUCUGAUGUGAAAGGCCGGGGCUCAACCCCGGGACUGCAUUGGAAACUGUCAGGCUAGAGUGCAGGAGGGGUAAGCGGAAUUCCUAGUGUAGCGGUGAAAUGCGUAGAUAUUAGGAGGAACACCGGUGGCGAAGGCGGCUUACUGGACUGUAACUGACGUUGAGGCUCGAAAGCGUGGGGAGCAAAC
rnacentral:rRNA from 1 species